rnacentral:rRNA from 1 species
CCUGAUCCAGCCAUGCCGCGUGAGUGAAGAAGGCCUUCGGGUUGUAAAGCUCUUUUAGUCGGAAAGAAAGAGUCGCAAUGAAUAAUUGUGAUUUAUGACGGUACCGACAGAAAAAGCACCGGCUAACUACGUGCCAGCAGCCGCGGUAAUACGUAGGGUGCGAGCGUUAAUCGGAAUUACUGGGCGUAAAGGGUGCGCAGGCGGUUUUGCAAGUCAGAUGUGAAAGCCCCGGGCUUAACCUGGGAAUUGCGUUUGAAACUACAAGGCUAGAGUGCAGCAGAGGGGAGUGGAAUUCCAUGUGUAGCAGUGAAAUGCGUAGAGAUGUGGAAGAACACCGAUGGCGAAGGCAGCUCCCUGGGUUGACACUGACGCUCACGCACGAAAGCGUGGGGAGCAAACAGGAUUAGAUACCCUGGUAGUCCACGCCCUAAACGAUGUCAACUGGUUGUCGGAUCUAAUUAAGGAUUUGGUAACGUAGCUAACGCGUGAAGUUGACCGCCUGGGGAGUACGGUCGCAAGAUUAAAACUCAAAGGAAUUGACGG